CAUUAGAUGGCUGAACAAUAGCAAUGGUCUCUUAAACCAUAUUAUAGUAAAUUUUACUUCUAAUGA
rnacentral:tRNA from 3 species